GUAGUGUUAACUUCUAGUUAUGAAUUCAUGCUUUCAAACGACCAUACGAUGGUUUAAUGCUUGAACAAUUAGAACUGUACUAGUUGCACUAAUCGUGUACUCAAAAAAAGGCUAUAAUAAAAAAGCGGAUCAUCUUUACCGAACUGUGUGUAGACAAAAUCGCCUCGUGUGUAUUAAAAACAAUUGUUUGGAUGGAUCUAGUUUUCAACUAGCGCCUUAGUUACACGUCAGAUUUUAGCGUGACGGUGCGAGGGAUGUGCUCGAUCAGCUGUUUGCACAUUGGCAUUGAAUGUGCGUCUAUACUGGUCAAAUCUUUUUAUUGAUGUGCGAUGAAUUUAUGGUAUGGUUUUUUUGAGCGACCGUCAGCAGUAAUGCCGCGGGUGCUUGGAUAAAAAUACAGAACCAUCUCAUUACAUUCACAAGAAGACAGCCAGCCAAGCAAUCCUUGUUGCUAUGUGGUGACCUGUGUGGAGUCACUGACUCAAUGACGCAUACGCGCGUUGAAUGAAUUUUUUAGCAAGUCGAAAGUGUUUACCGAUCGAUUUGGCUAGUUUGAUUCUCACCGAAAUAAAGUUCGUCAUUCGUCGAUGUCGUAACAUAAGAGAAAUCAAAUUACUCUCGAGUAACCUAAAAGUAUCUAACACUGUAAGUUAGAGGUGUCGUGCAAUUCUUGCUGAACUUUAAAUAUGAUAAAAAGACACGUCCAAAGAUUUACGAAUUUACAGGAAUUAAAACCAAACCCGUUGUCAACCGAAAUUCCGAAAAGAAUUGAAGCACACAAAAUCCAGUGUCAAUCCAAUUAUUAGCGUUGAAACGCUUAAGCAAAUUUCGCGGGGGAAGGUGGUAUCCUGAAACAGACUUUAAAAAGCUGGAUCAUGUUAUCCGCUUACCGUGUAGCUUGUCGACAGCUAGCUACGUCGGUAACUACUUCGAAUCCUCAACAAAAGUUCGGGGUGAUGAAUGUCUUUGAUAGAAGUGCAAAACAAAGACAUCGCGAAAUGUGGGUGGCCAACCCUGAAGCUGAAAAGUAUGAUUAUCUACGCGAAGAAGUUGGCUACCGGAACUCUGAUCGAUUAUUUGACAUCAAACGUAAACUCAAUGUAAUAGUGGAGUUGGGCUGCGGUAGGGGUUACAUUGCACAGCAUCUUAUGGAAAACGUUGCUGAUGAGUAUAUCCUAUGCGACAUGUCGCAAAAAAUUGUAGCGGCAGCACGAGGUAACGACCGUCUUAAGGUGAGUCGGCGUGUUGUAGACGAGGAGCAACCACUACCUUUUGCCAGUAAUUCUGUUGAUGCGGUGGUAUCAAGCCUAAGUUUGCAUUGGGUUAAUAAUUUACCCGGGCUUUUCCGUAGCGUAUACGACGUACUUAAGCCAGAUGGCGUCUUUCUUGGAAGCUUGUGCGGGAACGACACUCUGUUUGAGUUACGGAGUGCCCUCCAAGUAGCGGAAACAGAACUCGAAGGCGGGUUUGGCAUUCAUGUUUCGCCGUUUAUCGAACCCACGGAUCUAGGCGGUCUUCUGCGAAACGCUGGGUACAGAAUGCUCACCCUUGAUUCUGAUAGCAUUGUUGUCGGCUAUCCCGGAUUGCGUGAGCUGAUGGCAGAUCUCAAAGGAAUGGCAGAGAAUAACUGCGUGUGGAAACGAAAGACGCACUUGCAUCGGCGAACGCAGAAGUUAGCUGAGGCAAAAUACAAAGAGAUGUAUGGAAACGAGAAAGGCAAUAUUCAGGCAACAUUUCACAUUUUAUCGUUCAUAGGGUGGAAACCCCAUGAGAGUCAGCCAAAGCCCGCAAAGAGGGGCAGUGCAACAAUGUCGCUGAAGGAUCUUGACAAGUUGAAAGAAGAAUUUCCGGAGAAAAACUCUCAGCAAGUAUAAAGUCGUUUAGUUGAUAGCAAACAGUGACCGUGUAUGGAUGAUGAUUAUUAUCAAAUGAAUUGUAAAUCCAAGUUAGAAAUAUAACAGAAAAUAAAUGUAGUUAAAAAGUUGACAACAACGGUGUUAUCUCGUGGCCAGUGAGUGGCUUGUCAGCCUUUAUGUAUGGAAAUGGUGAAAGUGUUUUCUAGAUAACCACUAAAACGUCUGCGCGUCCACUAUGUUUUCCUAUUAAGGAUGCGUGCUCACCAUUAUGUAGCAGUAUUAUUGUGAUGAAGUUCAACUGAUUACUACGGUAUUCCCUAGAUGAAUUGCUCAAUUCGCUAAGGGUGGUCUUGCGUUCAUCCUGACCAAGGGAGCUGUGAAAAUCUAUCUGAAACGACAACAAUACAUGCGACAGCUGCGCAGGCGAGUUU